rnacentral:tRNA from 1 species
CGGGAUAUAGUUCAGCUUGGCAGAACGCUCCGCUUGGGACGGAGAGGUCGUAGGUUCAAAUCCUGCUAUUCCGA